AUUGAACGCUGGCGGCAGGCCUAACACAUGCAAGUCGAGCGAGCGGCGGACGGGUGAGUAAUGUCUGGGAAACUGCCUGAUGGAGGGGGAUAACUACUGGAAACGGUAGCUAAGACCGCAUACCAUCAGAUGUGCCCAGCUGGGGUGAGCUAGUAGGUGGGGUAACGGCUCACCUAGGCGACGAUCCCUAGCUGGUCUGAGAGGAUGACCCGCCACACUGGAACUGAGACACGGUCCAGACUCCUACGGGAGGCAGCAGUGGGGAAUAUUGCACAAUGGGCGCAAGCCUGAUGCAGCCAUGCCGCGGGUGUGAAGAAGGCCUUCGGGUUGUAAAGCACUUUCAGCGGGGAGGCGUUACCCGCAGAAGAAGCACCGGCUAACUCCGUGCCAGCAGCCGCGGUAAUGC
rnacentral:rRNA from 1 species